GACGUAGGACGGGCAAUCGCUGGCAUCUCAUCUAAGAGGUGCGGGAGGAAAGUCCGGGCUCCUUAGACAAAGCACAGGCUAACGGCCUGGGGGUCAUCUGGUGACGGAUGAUCUACGGACAGUGCAACAGAAAGUAAACCGCCGAGGUUCGCAAGAAUUUCGGUAAGGGUGAAAGGGUGGGGUAAGAGCCCACCGCGCGGCUAGUAAUAGUCGUGGCACGGUAAACCCUGCUUGGAGCAAGACCGAAUAGGGAAGCGAUGGUCUCGUCUAGACCGUUAACGUUUCCGGGUAAGGUCGCUUGAGAUUCGGAGUAAUCCGCGUCCUAGAGGAAUGGUUGCCUCCACUUCGUAAGAGGUGAAGACAGAACCCGGCUUAGAGUCCUACGUCAUUU
rnacentral:RNase_P_RNA from 1 species